rnacentral:rRNA from 1 species
CCUACGGGAGGCAGCAGUGGGGAAUAUUGCACAAUGGGGGAAACCCUGAUGCAGCGACGCCGCGUGAGUGAGGAAGUAUCUCGGUAUGUAAAGCUCUAUCAGCAGGGAAGAAAAGGACGGUACCUGACGAAGAAGCCCCGGCUAACUACGUGCCAGCAGCCGCGGUAAUACGUAGGGGGGCAGCGUUAUCCGGAUUUACUGGGUGUAAAGGGAGCGUAGACGGGGAUGCAAGUCAGACGGGAAAGCGCUGGGCUCAACCCUGGGACUGCAUUUGAAACUGGGGAGCUAGAGUGUAGGAGAGGUAGGCGGAAUUCCUGGUGUAGCGGUGAAAUGCGUAGAUAUCAGGAAGAACUCCGAUGGCGAAGGCAGCAUACUGGCGCAUGACUGACGCUGAGGCACGAAAGCGUGGGUAGCAAACAGGAUUAGAUACCCUUGUAGUC